UCCGUAGGUGAACCUGCGGAGGGAUCAUUACCGAGUUUACAACUCCCAAACCCAAUGUGAACGUUACCAAACUGUUGCCUCGGCGGGAUCUCUGCCCCGGGUGCGUCGCAGCCCCGGACCAAGGCGCCCGCCGGAGGACCAACCUAAAACUCUUAUUGUAUACCCCCUCGCGGGUUUUUUUUAUAAUCUGAGCCUUCUCGGCGCCUCUCGUAGGCGUUUCGAAAAUGAAUCAAAACUUUCAACAACGGAUCUCUUGGUUCUGGCAUCGAUGAAGAACGCAGCGAAAUGCGAUAAGUAAUGUGAAUUGCAGAAUUCAGUGAAUCAUCGAAUCUUUGAACGCACAUUGCGCCCGCCAGUAUUCUGGCGGGCAUGCCUGUCCGAGCGUCAUUUCAACCCUCGAACCCCUCCGGGGGGUCGGCGUUGGGGAUCGGCCCUCCCUUAGCGGGUGGCCGUCUCCGAAAUACAGUGGCGGUCUCGCCGCAGCCUCUCCUGCGCAGUAGUUUGCACACUCGCAUCGGGAGCGCGGCGCGUCCACAGCCGUUAAACACCCAACUUCUGAAAUGUUGACCUCGGAUCAGGUAGGAAUACCCGCUGAACUUAAGCAUAUCAAUAAGCGGAGGAA
rnacentral:rRNA from 2 species